UACGUAGGCAGCGAGCGUUGUUCGGAGUUACUGGGCGUAAAGAGUGCGUAGGCGGUUUUCUAAGUUUGGUGUGAAAUCUCCCGGCUUAACUGGGAGGGUGCGCCGAAAACUGGGAGGCUUGAGUAUGGGAGAGGUAAGCGGAAUUCCUGGUGUAGCGGUGAAAUGCGCAGAUAUCAGGAGGAACACCGACGGCGAAGGCAGGUCUCUGGGCAUUAACUGACGCUGAGGAGCGAAAGCAUGGGGAGCGAACAGG
rnacentral:rRNA from 1 species